UACGUAGGGUGCAAGCGUUGUCCGGAAUUAUUGGGCGUAAAGAGCUCGUAGGCGGUCUGUCGCGUCGGCUGUGAAAACUCGGGGCUCAACCCCGAGCCUGCAGUCGAUACGGGCAGACUAGAGUCCGGUAGGGGAGACUGGAAUUCCUGGUGUAGCGGUGAAAUGCGCAGAUAUCAGGAGGAACACCGAUGGCGAAGGCAGGUCUCUGGGCCGAUACUGACGCUGAGGAGCGAAAGCGUGGGGAGCGAACAGG
rnacentral:rRNA from 1 species